rnacentral:rRNA from 1 species
AACGAACGCUGGCGGCAGGCCUAACACAUGCAAGUCGAGCGAGCAUUUCGGUGCUAGCGGCGGACGGGUGAGUAACGCGUGGGAACGUGCCCUUUUCUGCGGAAUAGUCCUGGGAAACUGGGGGUAAUACCGCAUACGCCCUUUUGGGGAAAGAUUUAUCGGAGAAGGAUCGGCCCGCGUUGGAUUAGGUAGUUGGUGGGGUAAUGGCCCACCAAGCCGACGAUCCAUAGCUGGUUUGAGAGGAUGAUCAGCCACACUGGGACUGAGACACGGCCCAGACUCCUACGGGAGGCAGCAGUGGGGAAUCUUAGACAAUGGGGGCAACCCUGAUCGAGCCAUGCCGCGUGAGUGAUGAAGGCCUUAGGGUUGUAAAGCUCUUUCAGCUGGGAAGAUAAUGACGGUACCAGCAGAAGAAGCCCCGGCUAACACCGUG